rnacentral:rRNA from 1 species
AUUUGCGUCGAAGGUAUACCGACAAGGAGUGCUGGAGCGAAUAGAAGUGAGCAUGCAGGCAUGAGUAGCGAUAAUUAAUGUGAGAAUCAUUAACGCCGUAAACCCAAGGUUUCCUACGCGAUGCUCGUCAUCGUAGGGUUAGUCGGGUCCUAAGCUGAGUCCGAAAGGGGUAAGCGAUGGCAAAUAGGUUAAUAUUCCUAUACCAACAUUAGUGUGCGAUGGAAGGACGCUUAGGGCUAAGGGGGCUAGCGGAUGGAAGUGCUAGUCUAAGGUCGUAGGAGGUUAUACAGGCAAAUCCGUAUAACAAUACUCCGAGAACUGAAAGGCUUUUUGAAGUCUUCGGAUGGAAAGAAGAACCCCUGAUGCCGUCGAGCCAAGAAAAGUUUCUAAGUUUAGCUAAUGUUGCCCGUACCGUAAACCGACACAGGUGGGUGGGAUGAGUAUUCUAAGGCGCGUGGAAGAACUCUCUUUAAGGAACUCUGCAAAAUAGCACCGUAUCUUCGGUAUAAGGUGUGCCUCCCUUUGUAUUAGAAUUCACUUCGAAAGCAAAGAAGGUUACAACAAAGAGUCCCUCCCGACUGUUUACCAAAAACACAGCACUCUGCUAACUCGUAAGAGGAUGUAUAGGGUGUGACGCCUGCCCGGUGCUCGAAGGUUAAUUGAUGGGGUUAGCAUUAGCGAAGCUCUUGAUCGAAGCCCGAGUAAACGGCGGCCGUAACUAUAACGGUCCUAAGGUAGCGAAAUUCCUUGUCGGUUAAAUACCGACCUGCAUGAAUGGCGUAACGAGAUGGGAGCUGUCUCAAAGAGGGAUCCAGUGAAAUUGUAGUGGAGGUGAAAAUUCCUCCUACCCGCGGCAAGACGGAAAGACCCCGUGGACCUUUACUACAGCUUGACACUGCUAUUUGGAUAAGAAUGUGCAGGAUAGGUGGGAGGCUUUGAGUAUAUGACGCCAGUUGUAUAUGAGCCAUUGUUGAGAUACCACUCUUUCUUAUUUGGGUAGCUAACCAGCUUGAGUUAUCCUCAAGUGGGACAAUGUCUGGUGGGUAGUUUGACUGGGGCGGUCGCCUCCCAAAUAAUAACGGAGGCUUACAAAGGUUGGCUCAUAGCGGUUGGAAAUCGCUAGUAGAGUAUAAAGGUAUAAGCCAGCUUAACUGCAAGACAUACAAGUCAAGCAGAGACGAAAGUCGGUCUUAGUGAUCCGGUGGUUCUGUGUGGAAGGGCCAUCGCUCAAAGGAUAAAAGGUACCCCGGGGAUAACAGGCUGAUCUCCCCCAAGAGCUCACAUCGACGGGGAGGUUUGGCACCUCGAUGUCGGCUCAUCGCAUCCUGGGGCUGGAGCAGGUCCCAAGGGUAUGGCUGUUCGCCAUUUAAAGCGGUACGCGAGCUGGGUUCAGAACGUCGUGAGACAGUUCGGUCCCUAUCUGCCGUGGGCGUAAGAAGAUUGAAGAGAUUUGACCCUAGUACGAGAGGACCGGGUUGAACAAACCACUGGUGUAGCUGUUGUUCUGCCAAGAGCAUCGCAGCGUAGCUAAGUUUGGAAAGGAUAAACGCUGAAAGCAUCUAAGCGUGAAGCCAACUCUAAGAUGAAUCUUCUCUAAGCUCUCUAGAAGACUACUAGUUUGAUAGGCUGGGUGUGUAAUGGAUGAAAGUCCUUUAGCUGACCAGUACUAAUAGAGCGUUUGGCUUA